rnacentral:rRNA from 1 species
UAAGUCCCGCAACGAGCGCAACCCUUGUCUUUAGUUGCCAUCAUUAAGUUGGGCACUCUAGAGAGACUGCCAGGGAUAACCUGGAGGAAGGUGGGGAUGACGUCAAAUCAUCAUGCCCCUUAUGCUUAGGGCUACACACGUGCUACAAUGGGUAGUACAGAGGGUUGCCAAGCCGUAAGGCGGAGCUAAUCCCUUAAAGCUACUCUCAGUUCGGAUUGUAGGCUGAAACUCGCCUACAUGAAGCUGGAGUUACUAGUAAUCGCAGAUCAGAAUGCUGCGGUGAAUGCGUUCCCGGGUCUUGUACACACCGCCCGUCACACCACGGGAGUUGGAGACGCCCGAAGCCGAUUAUCUAACCUUUUGGAAGAAGUCGUCGAAGGUGGAAUCAAUAACUGGGGUGAAGUCGUAACAAGGUAGCCGUAUCGGAAGGUGCGGCUGGAUCACCUCCUUUCUAAGGA